CUCCUCCUCAGAGCCCACCUGCUCAGCCUCUGGCUCCGUCCCACCUUCACCCUGGGGCUCUCCCUGCUCCUCUGUUGGUGGCUGCCCCUCCACCACUUGGGGCUGUUCCUUGGGCUCCAACAGCUCAGGGCUCCUCUCUGGAGGCACCGGGGUUUUGGCGGCGUCCUCCUCAGUAGAGUCACGGUCCAGCCCAAACGUCAUCUCGUUGUACAGGUCGAGCUCCUCA
rnacentral:lncRNA from 1 species